rnacentral:sRNA from 1 species
CUCUAGCCCCGAUCGCAACGGCAUCCUUUUGUGUAGCGAAGCGAAACAAAAGAUAUAGUGAAAAGCGGGAUCAAGC